rnacentral:rRNA from 1 species
UACGAAGGGUGCAAACGUUGCUCGGAAUUAUUGGGCGUAAAGCGCACGUAGGCGGCUCUAUAAGUCGGAUGUGAAAUCCCUCGGCUCAACCAAGGAAGUGCAUCCGAAACUGUGGAGCUUGAGUACUUAAGAGGAUCGCGGAAUUCCCGGUGUAGAGGUGAAAUUCGUAGAUAUCGGGAGGAACACCAGUGGCGAAGGCGGUUCUCUGGGACGGUACUGACGCUGAGACGCGAAAGCGUGGGGAGCGAACAGG